rnacentral:lncRNA from 1 species
GAAGAAGAGGAGCCUGAGAUAGCAAGCUCAGCCCAUUGCCCUGUGAUCCCCUGCAGCACCUCAGGACUGCAGUGUCCUCACGGAUGAGAAGACUCACAUAAGAAUCAAUCUCUCACCCCUGGACUUCCCAGCCUCCAGAACGUUUUUUGACUGUGGAGGUGGAACUUUUGGAUACAAAAUGCUGAUUAUAUGCUGAGAAAGGAUAAAGAAGGAAAUGUCUUAAAUAGAAGAAAACAUAAGAAGAUAGAAACUGCAGAGGACAGAGGACCACUGUAUGCCCUGAAGACAUCACUAAAGUGGCACAUGAAGCACACUUUUGAACACUCAGGAAGAAAUUCCUGACAAUCAAUGGACACAGAAAAACAUUAUUAAGUAAAACUUGUGGUGACUCUUUUGCUAGGCAGUGGGGCAUAGUGGUUAAAAAUUUGGGACUUGGGAGCCAUUUCCAAAAAGAAAAAAAAAUAAUGAACAAAAAAGUUCGUGGAGCUGCUUCCUGCGGAAAUCAUGAAAAAUGCCAUUGAAAGUCAAAGCCCUGCACUAAUAACUAAUUAUUUGUCCUUGAACAAGUUAUUUGUGAAUACAGAACCCAUAGAUACGAAAGGCCAACUGUACUUAUUGAAAACAAUCCAGGUAUAACUAGACCCGCACAGUUCAAACCCAUGUUGUUCAAGGGUCAACUGUAUAAUUCACUUAAUCCCUAGAGCAACUGUAAGAGCUAGAUACGAUUGUUAUCCUUGUUUUGUAGGAGAGGAAAGUGAGGCACAGAAGUGUGGUUCAAGGACCAGAAGCAUCUGCAUCACUUGGGAGUUUGUGAGAAAUGCAUAAUCUUAAGGCCCACCUCAGAUUGCUAAAUUGGAAUCUGCUUUUUAAUAAAAUUAGCAGAUUCCUACAAAUAUUAAAGUAUCAGAAGCACCUGGCUAAAACCAUCUUCCCAAAAGUGGUGGAAGGGGAUUUCAAGCCUUACAGGUCUCACUCUACACUGUACUGUAUAAGCCUCUUUGCAUUAGAAAAUUAAUGUAAAGUGCCUAGCAUAUUAUAAGUAAUAAACAUUGUCCAUCAUUAUAAUAUUUUAGGAAUAGUUUGUACAUAUUUCUACCUGGAAGUAAAACUAUUUAUUUAU